CUGGACAUCCUCCAUGUUUUUGGAAGGUGCACAUGCCUACACAUAAACCCAUCAAUGUCUUCAGCGCUGCCAAUUAGAUGUGCCGGACUAGGCCUCACAACCAUACUACAUAAUUUUGGUGACAUGAUAGCUCAGUUCCCAACUACAUACCUAGGCCUUCCAAUCACACUCUCGAGGUUGAGGCUGGCGAAUUCGCAAUUCAUCCUAGAUAGGAUCAAAGCGAGGCUAGCAGGUUGGAAAGGGAAGAUGAUGCCCAUAGCUAGUAGGAGAGUUCUUGUCAGAUGUGUUCUCAGCGCCAUGCCAACCUCUGCACUGUCUAUUCUUCGGGUGCCAAAGAAGCUGCUGAAGGAGAUUGAUAAGUGUUGA
rnacentral:rRNA from 1 species